GAUCAAAAAGUAAAUUGGUCUUUUCUGUUAAAAAUUGGCAUGGCUAACAAAAUAAUCAAAUAGUAGCACCUAGUGUGCCACGUGUACAAAUGUACAAAGACUAGUUUUUAACAGUAGAAAUGCAUGAAAUUUUUAACA
rnacentral:pre_miRNA from 1 species